CCUACGGGCGGCUGCAGUGGGGGAUAUUGCACAAUGGGGGAAACCCUGAUGCAGCGACGCCGCGUGUGGGAAGACGGUCCUCUGGAUUGUAAACCACUGUCCCCAGGGACGAAGAUGACGGUACCUGAGUAAGAAGCACCGGCCAAAUACGUGCCAGCAGCCGCGGUAAUACGGAGGGUGCAAGCGUUGUCCGGAUUUACUGGGGGUAAAGGGAGCGCAGGCGGCACGGCAAGCCUGAUGUGAAAGCCCGCGGCCCAACCGCGGGACGGCAUUGGGACCUACCGGGCUGGAGUGCCGGAGAGGUAGACGGAAUUCCUGGUGUAGCGGUGAAAUGCGUAGAUAUUAGGAGGAACACCAGUGGCGAAGGCGGCCUACUGGACGGUAACUGACGCUGAGGCACGAAAGCGUGGGGAGCAAACAGGAUUAGAUACCCUAGUAGUC
rnacentral:rRNA from 1 species